ensembl:processed_transcript
CUAUAAAACUUAACAGUCAAAAUCAUUAAAUACAAUAAGUUAGUUUAAUUCUUUAAAAGGUUACUUUGACUCAGUGAAAAAGAGUUACUGUAACUCAUCAACAGAUUAAACUAAGCAGAACUCAAAACAAUUGAGUAAUGAAUGAAUUAAUUAUAUUUUUUGUGCUAACUCUAAAACUAGGAGCAAUACCAAACCAUUUCCGUAGCUAUACAGUUGUUUACAGUUAAUUUGUUUACAAUUUGAUGACUGAACUUAAAAUGUUCAAGUUCAUAAUAUAUAUAAAAUAUAUAUAUACAAUUAAAGUCAGAAUUAUUAGCCCCCUUUGUUUAUUUAUUUAUUUAUUUAUUUAUUUUUUAAUAUUUCCCAAAUUAUGUUUAACAGAGCAAGGAAAUGUUCACCGUAUUUUAACUCUGCUUUUUUGUAUAACUUCACAUUUUAUAUAAUUUAUAUAAUUUAUAUAUAUAUAUAUAUAUAUAUAUAUAUAUAUAUAUAUAUAUAUAUAUA